rnacentral:rRNA from 1 species
GACGAACGCUGGCGGCGUGCCUAAUACAUGCAAGUAGGACGCAGUUGCGAACGGGUGAGUAACGCGUAGGUAACUGCCUAUUAGAGGGGGAUAACUAUUGGAAACGAUAGCUAAUACCGCAUACUAGUAGAUGGACCUGCGUUGUAUUAGCUAGUAGGUAGGGUAAUGGCCUACCUAGGCAACGAUACAUAGCCGACCUGAGAGUGUGAGCGGCCAUGCUGGGAUGGAGACACGGCCCAUAUGCCUACGGGAGGCGGCAGUAGGGAAUCUUGGGGAAUGGGGGGAAGCCUGACCGAGCAACGCCGCGUGAUUGAAGACGGUUUUCGGAUGGUAAAGCUCUGUUGUUAAGGAAGCGGUACUUAACCAGAAAGGGACGGCUAACUACGUGCCAGCCGCCGCGGUAAUAC